rnacentral:rRNA from 1 species
CCUACGGGUGGCAGCAGUGAGGAAUCUUGGUCAAUGGGCGCUAGCCUGACCCAGCCAAGUAGCGUGAAGGAUGACUGCCCUACGGGUUGUAAACUUCUUUUAUACAGGAAUAAAGUGCAGCACGUGUACCGUUUUGUAUGUACUUUAUGAAUAAGGAUCGGCUAACUCCGUGCCAGCAGCCGCGGUAAUACGGAGGAUCCGAGCGUUAUCCGGAUUUAUUGGGUUUAAAGGGAGCGUAGAUGGGUUGUUAAGUCAGUUGUGAAAGUUUGCGGCUCAACCGUAAAAUUGCAGUUGAUACUGGCAGUCUUGAGUACAGUAGAGGUAGGCGGAAUGCGUGGUGUAGCGGUGAAAUGCUUAGAUAUCACGAAGAACUCCGAUUGCGAAGGCAGCUUACUAAACUGUAACUGACACUGAUGCUCGAAAGUGUGGGUAGCAAACAGGAUUAGAUACCCGGGUAGUC